rnacentral:rRNA from 1 species
GCGGCGAGUGAAGCGGCAAAAGCUCAAAUUUGAAAUCUGGCUCUUUCAGAGUCCGAGUUGUAAUUUGAAGAAGGUAUCUUUGGGUCUGGCUCUUGUCUAUGUUUCUUGGAACAGAACGUCACAGAGGGUGAGAAUCCCGUGCGAUGAGAUGAUCCAGGCCUAUGUAAAGUUCCUUCGAAGAGUCGAGUUGUUUGGGAAUGCAGCUCUAAGUGGGUGGUAAAUUCCAUCUAAAGCUAAAUAUUGGCGAGAGACCGAUAGCGAACAAGUACAGUGAUGGAAAGAUGAAAAGAACUUUGAAAAGAGAGUGAAAAAGUACGUGAAAUUGUUGAAAGGGAAGGGCUUGAGAUCAGACUUGGUAUUUUGUAUGUUACUUCUUCGGGGGUGGCCUCUACAGUUUAUCGGGCCAGCAUCAGUUUGGGCGGUAGGAGAAUUGCGUUGGAAUGUGGCACGGCUUUGGUUGUGUGUUAUAGCCUUCGUCGAUACUGCCAGCCUAGACUGAGGACUGCGGUUUAUACCUAGGAUGUUGGCAUAAUGAUCUUAAGUCGCCCGUCUUGAAACACGGACCC